AGUGAACGCUGGCGGUAGGCCUAACACAUGCAAGUCGAACGGCAGCACAGUAAGAGCUUGCUCUUACGGGUGGCGAGUGGCGGACGGGUGAGGAAUACAUCGGAAUCUACUUUUUCGUGGGGGAUAACGUAGGGAAACUUACGCUAAUACCGCAUACGCCCUACGGGUGAAAGCAGGGGAUCUUCGGACCUUGCGCGAUUGAAUGAGCCGAUUUCGGAUUAGCUAGUUGGCGGGGUAAAGGCCCACCAAGGCGACGAUCCGUAGCUGGUCUGAGAGGAUGAUCAGCCACACUGGAACUGAGACACGGUCCAGACUCCUACGGGAGGCAGCAGUGGGGAAUAUUGGACAAUGGGCGCAAGCCUGAUCCAGCCAUAUCGCGUGGGUGAAGAAGGCCUUCGGGUUGUAAAGCCCUUUUGUUGGGAAAGAAAAGCAGCAGGUUAAUACCCCGCUGUUCUGACGGUACCCAAAGAAUAAGCACCGGCUAACUUCGUG
rnacentral:rRNA from 1 species